GUCACACUCUGCUCACUUUGCGAAAUCAAGGAUGGCGUCCUCUUCUUUAACGCCCUUUGAGCACAUGAGCAGACGGAGUGAUCA
rnacentral:miRNA from 1 species